CUACGGGAGGCAGCAGUGGGGAAUCUUGCGCAAUGGGCGAAAGCCUGACGCAGCAACGCCGCGUGGGGGAAGAAGGCUCUAGGGUUGUAAACCCCUUUCAGUAGGAACGAAGAUGACGGUACCUGCAGAAGAAGGUUCGGCCAACUACGUGCCAGCAGCCGCGGUGACACGUAGGCACCAAGCGUUGUCCGGAUUUAUUGGGCGUAAAGAGCUCGUAGGCGGUUCAGUAAGUCGGGUGUGAAAACUUCGGGCUCAACUCGAAGCUUGCACUCGAUACUGCUGUGACUCGAGUCCGGUAGGGGAGUGGGGAAUUCCUGGUGUAGCGGUGAAAUGCGCAGAUAUCAGGAGGAACACCGGUGGCGAAGGCGCCACUCUGGGCCGGUACUGACGCUGAGGAGCGAAAGCGUGGGUAGCAAACAGGAUUAGAUACCCUGGUAGUCC
rnacentral:rRNA from 1 species